GACGAACGCUGGCGGCGUGCCUAAUACAUGCGAGUAGAACGCUGAAGGAGGAGCUUGCUCUUCUGGAUGAGUUGCGAACGGGUGAGUAACGCGUAGGUAACCUGCCUGGUAGCGGGGGAUAACUAUUGGAAACGAUAGCUAAUACCGCAUAACAGUAGAUGUUGCAUGACAUUUACUUAAAAGGUGCAAUUGCAUCACUACCAGAUGGACCUGCGUUGUAUUAGCUAGUUGGUGGGGUAACGGCUCACCAAGGCGACGAUACAUAGCCGACCUGAGAGGGGGAUCGGCCACACUGGGACUGAGACACGGCCCAGACUCCUACGGGAGGCAGCAGUAGGGAAUCUUCGGCAAUGGACGGAAGUCUGACCGAGCAACGCCGCGGGAGUGAAGAAGGUUUUCGGAUCGUAAAGCUCUGUUGUAAGAGAAGAACGAGUGUGAGAGUGGAAAGUUCACACUGUGACGGUAUCUUACCAGAAAGGGACGGCUAACUACGUG
rnacentral:rRNA from 1 species